AUGAUGACGCUGGCGGCGUGCCUAAUACAUGCAAGUCGAACGAGUUCUCGUUGAUGAUCGGUGCUUGCACCGAGAUUCAACAUGGAACGAGUGGCGGACGGGUGAGUAACACGUGGGUAACCUGCCCUUAAGUGGGGGAUAACAUUUGGAAACAGAUGCUAAUACCGCAUAGAUCCAAGAACCGCAUGGUUCUUGGCUGAAAGAUGGCGUAAGCUAUCGCUUUUGGAUGGACCCGCGGCGUAUUAGCUAGUUGGUGAGGUAAUGGCUCACCAAGGCGAUGAUACGUAGCCGAACUGAGAGGUUGAUCGGCCACAUUGGGACUGAGACACGGCCCAAACUCCUACGGGAGGCAGCAGUAGGGAAUCUUCCACAAUGGACGCAAGUCUGAUGGAGCAACGCCGCGUGAGUGAAGAAGGCUUUCGGGUCGUAAAACUCUGUUGUUGGAGAAGAAUGGUCGGCAGAGUAACUGUUGUCGGCGUGACGGUAUCCAACCAGAAAGCCACGGCUAACUACGUGCCAGCAGCCGCGGUAAUACGUAGGUGGCAAGCGUUAUCCGGGAUUUAUUGGGCGUAAAGCGAGCGCAGGCGGUUUUUUAAGUCUGAUGUGAAAGCCCUCGGCUUAACCGAGGAAGCGCAUCGGAAACUGGGAAACUUGAGUGCAGAAGAGGACAGUGGAACUCCAUGUGUAGCGGUGAAAUGCGUAGAUAUAUGGAAGAACACCAGUGGCGAAGGCGGCUGUCUGGUCUGUAACUGACGCUGAGGCUCGAAAGCAUGGGUAGCGAACAGGAUUAGAUACCCUGGUAGUCCAUGCCGUAAACGAUGAAUGCUAGGUGUUGGAGGGUUUCCGCCCUUCAGUGCCGCAGCUAACGCAUUAAGCAUUCCGCCUGGGGAGUACGACCGCAAGGUUGAAACUCAAAGGAAUUGACGGGGGCCCGCACAAGCGGUGGAGCAUGUGGUUUAAUUCGAAGCAACGCGAAGAACCUUACCAGGUCUUGACAUCUUUUGAUCACCUGAGAGAUCAGGUUUCCCCUUCGGGGGCAAAAUGACAGGUGGUGCAUGGUUGUCGUCAGCUCGUGUCGUGAGAUGUUGGGUUAAGUCCCGCAACGAGCGCAACCCUUAUGACUAGUUGCCAGCAUUUAGUUGGGCACUCUAGUAAGACUGCCGGUGACAAACCGGAGGAAGGUGGGGAUGACGUCAAAUCAUCAUGCCCCUUAUGACCUGGGCUACACACGUGCUACAAUGGAUGGUACAACGAGUUGCGAGACCGCGAGGUCAAGCUAAUCUCUUAAAGCCAUUCUCAGUUCGGACUGUAGGCUGCAACUCGCCUACACGAAGUCGGAAUCGCUAGUAAUCGCGGAUCAGCACGCCGCGGUGAAUACGUUCCCGGGCCUUGUACACACCGCCCGUCACACCAUGAGAGUUUGUAACACCCGAAGCCGGUGGCGUAACCCUUUUAGGGAGCGAGCCGUCUAAGGUGGGACAAAUGAUUAGGGGA
rnacentral:rRNA from 2 species